rnacentral:lncRNA from 1 species
GGAAAUUUGAUCAAUCAUGUUAAACUCAACAGUGAAAACAUUUUUACACAAUGCACUAGAGAACAAGUUUAUUUACUUUUGAACUUUUUCUACAAACAGAAAUUUCUCGCAAUAUUUAUUAAUAAUUGAAAUCAAACCGAUACGGAAAUAAGUCCACGUGAAACUCAUAUACCAAGGUAAAUUACCGACGGUCAAGAAGUUGCUUUCGACUUCAAGUUCUUCACUAUAUCAUCCCACCUCAGCAAUGAUCAACACCAUUUAGUAACUUCUUCUGAUUUACCCACCUGUCUCCAUCAGUCCAUAUGGUCCCCGUCUUCUUAUCAUGCUCCUUCACGCCUUGUUGCUGCUGACAAACAAACCACAUGUAAAUACCUUACAGUACAUAAUAUAUUUACAACCGCGCUAUGAAUAGAUAACUCCAAAUGUAGCUUUCAGGAUUGGUCAUGCAUUCUCUGUUGUCAUACCAAGAAUGCAUUUUAUAAUUGCACUCAAACUUGUAACUGUAAACAGUUCAGGUAUAGAAAAAAUAAAAGGCAUAUCACAAUAGCCCAACAUAACUUUUUUUUUCGGUUUGCAGGAUGAAAAACUGCUAAUAUGGUACUCCAAAGAGAGGGAAAAAAGUCUGAGCUUGAGUUCUGUGUCGAGUGUGGUUCUCGGACAGAAAACAGUAUGUGGUUUUCUUCCCCAAACACUUAUUAUUAUGAUUCAAGUACACGAAGGCAUACAUAUUCUUAGAAUGUCUGUAUUUGCAGACAAAUCUUUUGCGCUUGCAUUGGCCAGAAAAGGAACAUCACUCCUUGUCAGUCAUAUACAAGAAUGGUGAAUACUCACUGGACUUGGUAUUUCCUACUAGGCCUGGAAUUCUUGAGUUUAGAAUCUCUUUGUUCCUCGUAUAACUGCCUUUUCUAACAUCUAUUUACAAUCAUGUCUUCCCAGAUCUGCAAAGACAAGGACCAAGCUGACUGCUGGUAUCUAGGCCUAACAGCCUUGGUAUCUGCUCUAUAUAGUCCUCUUCUUUUGGUUGAUUCAACAAGCAGCCGUCGGAUAAACAGUUGCACAAAUAGCCCUCCUAGCUAUAUUCAGCAAAGGAAUAGGCUAUUUUCAGUAGAUGACACAAGAAAGUUCACCCAGGUUGGAACCCAUGCAUGUCAUGAUUUCUAUGUGAGAACAUGAUUACUUUGUUCAAGUAUGAGUUUACCAUGACUUGUGACCUUUCCUAGAUUACGCUUAGUAAAACUUUUGGUUUUCUGUUAAUCAGCGGCCACCCACUGCUCAGCUCAGGAAAUUGCGAAAUUAAUAACCAACAUGUUAGGCAGUGUUACAAUUCUGGCCAUUUUGAUAAAUUAUACUUUCCAAAUAUAUAAAUAAUAAUACAAUCAUUAGGUAACACCCAGACUAAUGUAAUGUCAAGUGGGUAAUGAUACACUUUGUGGAGCUGCAUAUUUUUUCAUAACUACUCCCUCCGUACAUCCGUUUGAGAGUCAAGUAAUUCCAUACAGAGGAUGUACUCCCUCUGUAAACUAAUAUAAGAUGUUUUAGGCCACUAAAAUAGUGAUCUAAAAUGUCUUAUAUUAGUUUACAGAGGGAGUACUAAAUAAGCCGAUACAUCUGAUAGCUUAUGAAAGACUGUAAAUUGCCAUGCCUUAGCCACUAGUAUUUUCAAAUUGUUAUAUUCAAUUGAUAGCUUAUGGAAGUAUCUAUUUGUGAAGGUACACUCACUGUAUGGCAGUCCUAGGUUGAUACAGAACAAAGUAUCGAAGAGCAGUCUGGAUUGCUCAGAAG